GUGGUCUGAAUAAAAUUAGGCCAGCAAAUUUUUAUUUAUAUGCCACUAAAGUUUGUCAAGACAAGAUAAGCAAUAGAAAUCUAGAGGACACUUUGUGCGUUGUCAUUUAACUGUGUCCCAAUUUUCAAAAGGUGGAAGUGGGAGGAGUUGAUUCUAAACGCCAUGGUGGAAUAUGGUAAGACGUUAUCUCAAGAUAGCUGUUUAAAGAUAAUAAUCGUAGCUCAAACUGUCAGUAACAGAAUGAGUACUCAUGGCAGUGUUUUGGUCUAAGCAUUUUCCAGGAGCAAUAUUCUACACCUCAUAUUAAUCUAAGAAGCAUAAAAUAGAGUAUUUUUAUACUGUAGAUUAUAACUCUUUAGUGGUGAUUAAAUCAAUUUAGUAUGUCAUGAGCUGUCAUAAUCAGUAUCUUUAAAAAACAGAACAUAAAACAUCGGAAUAUAUUGCUUAGUGUAAAUAAUAUGUACUGUUUUGUGAAACUUGUUUCAGGUGUGUAUGUGUGUGUGUGUGUGCGUGCACACACACACAUCAGAUCACAAUAUAAAAAGAAUGUCUUCCUAUUGGUUGUGGUUGGAGAAGUUUGAAAACAUUGAAAUCAGGACUUAAGGCAAGCACCAGCUGUAAAGGAAAGAAAGAAAAUAUAUUUGCAGUCAAUGGUAGUUCAUUCAUUCCACAGCUAUUUCUUCAAUGUAUUGAACACCAAAUGUAUGCAUAACAACUGCCUAAAAUUAGGAGGAGACACAAGUGCAACUUUUAAGGUGAGCCCUUCUCUCUGGGGAGAGUUUACAAUCUUGUUGGAAAGAGAAGUUGCAGAGAGGAGUCAGUUAAAUAACAGUCCAAGGCAGUAUGAGAUUAAGUUCUAAACUAUACCAAUAAUAGUCAUUAAUUUCAGAAAACUGAUGUGGGCAAUAGCAGUUGAGGAGCGUUCGGAAGAAAGGAGGUGAAUUUGAGCUGAACUUGAAAUGGGAGGAUGAAGGUGGGAGGGAAAGGCUUUCCAGCAGGAAGAAGUGCGGAAAGCUAAAGAUGUUUGAGGUACAACUAAUUUGGAGUAAUAAGAGGUGGGGUUGGGUGAAUAAGGGGAGGCGUAGUAUCAGGAGAGUUUCCAGUUAGUCACGGGAGUUUACCGGAAAUUGGGCAAUCACUGGAAUUUUCUGAACAAUGACAUGACAGGUUGAAAUCAGAGUGUUAGUCCAUAGACAUUAUACGUGAUAGGGUGAAGAGAGAAGAAAGCUCAGAUAGGAAAUUAUUGCCAGAGUGAACCAUCCAGCUCAAAAGUGCUGGACUGGCAAAGAGCCAGAAGUAAAGCACGUUGUAGGAAGUUGUGCUCUGGCGACACACAAGGAAACCUGAAACUUAAGCCAUUUCAAGUGAGGUGACAGACCUUCCAAGAGAAUAACAGCAUCACACAACAGCCACUGAUUUAAUGAUGGAGCAAUGCUUCUUGCCAAUCAUCGUAUACAUAUUCAGUGACCUUGCAUGAAGAAACAUCCUGUCUGCAGAAAAGGAGACUGCACCUCAUUUACACAAGGCAGGGCUGAUAAGCAUGAUGAGGUGGUGAAUAACAGAGGCUCAGAAAUUGGACUCUAUGGUUUUGAAUCCUGCCUUCACACCUUUUGUGUGAUGUUGAACAAAUUACUUAACCUCUCAGACUCUCCAUAAAAUGAGGAUAAUAAUAUCUACUUCACAGGGUUGUUGCAGGGACAGAAUGAAAAAAAUACAUGUAAAUCACUUAGAACGAUGCCUGACACAUAUUUAGUAAAUGCUAGCUACUAUUUCUAUUUUAACGAUAGAAUGAGGCACACCACUGUAAACUAUCAUGGUGUGUAAUCCAUCCCACCAGUUAUUUAUGGAUGUUACUUAUUCUUUUGUUAAAAAGUAUUGCAUAUGAUGUCUAUGACAUAUUUGCUUCUUAUAAUAAUGAAACUUCAGAAAAUUCACUGUGUGUUAUCAAAUGUGAUUGUCUCGAACAAUUACUGAGUAUGAUCUCAAUCAUCAGAAUGAAAAAACGUUACCGUGGAAUCACAUGGGACUCUGAGACUCUCUGAUACACAUGCACCCCUUACAACACCUACACAGUGACAUACAUUCAAAAGGUACUGCUUGCCUCAAUGUUUGCAUGCAAGAACAAACAAGAAAUGUGUGUCUCUGAAAUAAAAUGUUAAAUUUCAUGCCAAUAUAGGUAUUUAUUGUUUGUGGGAACAUCAUUUAAUAGAUAGGUAUUAACACUUUUACAAUUGGUUACUUAGGAUACUGUAUUUUAACUCAGCAUCAGUCAGUUUUUCUGAAAUGUGAUAUAUUUUCUUCCUCCUUUAAUAUUUGUGCUAAUAACAAUGGUACCUAACAUUCAUUGACCAAUUACUACAUGCCUGUGCUUUCUUUGUAUUAACUUGGAACAGCCUGAUGAGCUGGAUACUCAUUAUUUCCAUUUUAUAGGUAAGGCACAGAAGUUUGAAUAGCUUGACUAAGUUAAUAGCUAGUGCGUGGUGGAGCCUAGAUUUGGACCAGUAAUCUCUAGCAUCAACUCAGUUUAACCAUUGUACCAUACUAUACACUAAGUUAUAUAUUAGUGUGUUAAAUGUAUAAUGUUCUACAAAAUGCCUGACAGGGGUUUGCAUUUGCCAUUGGUUGAUUUUAAAUCAAGUGAAAAUUAGAAGUGUGAAUCUGAGACUAUGUUAAAGUGAACUUUAUAACAUUUAAAAAAUAAAUUUACUUAUUUUAUUUUUA